UGGGGAAUAUUGGGCAAUGGGCGCAAGCCUGACCCAGCAACGCCGCGUGAAGGAAGAAGGCUUUCGGGUUGUAAACUUCUUUUCUCAGGGACGAAGCAAGUGACGGUACCUGAGGAAUAAGCCACGGCUAACUACGUGCCAGCAGCCGCGUAAUACAGAUCU
rnacentral:rRNA from 1 species